UACGGAGGGUGCAAGCGUUAUCCGGAUUCACUGGGUUUAAAGGGUGCGUAGGAGGGCAGGUAAGUCAGUGGUGAAAUCUCCGAGCUUAACUUGGAAACUGCCGUUGAUACUAUCUGCCUUGAAUAUUGUGGAGGUGAGCGGAAUAUGUCAUGUAGCGGUGAAAUGCUUAGAUAUGACAUAGAACACCAAUUGCGAAGGCAGCUUACUACACAGUUAUUGACACUGAGGCACGAAAGCGUGGGGAUCAAACAGG
rnacentral:rRNA from 1 species